GACGAACGCUGGCGGCGUGCUUCAUACAUGCAAGUCGAACGAGAAGUUACCUUCGGGUGAUGGAAAGUGGCGGACGGGUGAGUAAAAUGUAGAGAAUCUGCCUUUGAGAGGGGGACAACAGUUGGAAACGACUGCUAAUACCGCAUAAGCCCACAGCUCGGCAUCGAGCAGAGGGAAAAGGAGUGAUCCGCUUUGAGAUGGCCUCGCGUCCGAUUAGCUGGUUGGUGAGGUAACGGCCCACCAAGGCGACGAUCGGUAGCCGGACUGAGAGGUUGAACGGCCACAUUGGGACUGAGACACGGCCCAG
rnacentral:rRNA from 1 species